rnacentral:rRNA from 1 species
UACGGGGGGGGCGAGCGUUAUUCGGAAUUAUUGGGCGUAAAGGGCGCGUAGGCGGCCUUGCAAGUCAAGGGUGAAAUCCCUCGGCUCAACUGAGGAACUGCCUUUGAAACUGCAUGGCUUGAGGCCGGGAGGGGGUAGCGGAAUUCCCAGUGUAGCGGUGAAAUGCGUAGAUAUUGGGAGGAACACCAGUGGCGAAGGCGGCUACCUGGACCGGUUCUGACGCUGAUGCGCGAAAGCGUGGGUAGCAAACAGG